GACGAACGCUGGCGGCGUGCUUAACACAUGCAAGUCGAACGAAGUGGCGAACGGGUGAGUAACGCGUAAUCAACCUGCCCUUCAGCGGGGGACAAAAGUUGGAAACGACUGCUAAUAACGCAUACUGAAGGAGGGGAUUGAGUCUGAUUAGCUAGUUGGCGGGUGAAAGGCCCAACAAGGCGAUGAUCAGUAGCCGGUCUGAGAGGAGGAACGGCCACAUUGGGACUGAGACACGGCCCAGACUCCUACGGGAGGCAGCAGUGGGGAAUCUUCCGCAAUGGACGAAAGUCUGACGGAGCAACGCCGCGUGAGUGAUGACGGCCUUCGGGUUGUAAAGCUCUGUUAAUCGGGACGCGGUACCGGAAUAGAAAGCCACGGCUAACUACGUGCCAGCAGCCGCGGUAAUUC
rnacentral:rRNA from 1 species